rnacentral:rRNA from 1 species
UACGUAGGUGGCGAGCGUUGUCCGGAUUUACUGGGCGUAAAGAGCGCGCAGGCGGUCGUUCAAGUCGGAUGUGAAAGCCCCCGGCUCAACUGGGGAGGGUCAUUCGAUACUGAUCGACUCGAAGGCAGGAGAGGGAAGCGGAAUUCCGGGUGUAGUGGUGAAAUGCGUAGAGAUCCGGAGGAACACCAGUGGCGAAGGCGACACGCUGGGUCACACCUGACGCUAAAACGCGACAGCAUGGGGAGCAAACGGG